GACGAACGCUGGCGGCGUGCUUAACACAUGCAAGUCGAACGAAGAGCGAUGGAAGCUUGCUUCUAUCAAUCUUAGUGGCGAACGGGUGAGUAACGCGUAAUCAACCUGCCCUUCAGAGGGGGACAACAGUUGGAAACGACUGCUAAUACCGCAUACGAUCUAAUCUCGGCAUCGAGGAUAGAUGAAAGGUGGCCUCUACAUGUAAGCUAUCACUGAAGGAGGGGAUUGCGUCUGAUUUGCUAGUUGGAGGGGUAACGGCCCACCAAGGCGAUGAUCAGUAGCCGGUCUGAGAGGAUGAACGGCCACAUUGGGACUGAGACACGGCCCAGACUCCUACGGGAGGCAGCAGUGGGGAAUCUUCCGCAAUGGACGAAAGUCUGACGGAGCAACGCCGCGUGAGUGAUGACGGCCGUCGGGUUGUAAAGCUCUGUUAAUCGGGACGAAAGGCCUUCUUGCGAAUAGUGAGAAGGAUUGACGGUACCGGAAUAGAAAGCCACGGCUAACUACGUG
rnacentral:rRNA from 1 species